rnacentral:rRNA from 1 species
GCAGUCGAACGGCAGCACAGAGGAGCUUGCUCCUUGGGUGGCGAGUGGCGGACGGGUGAGGAAUACAUCGGAAUCUACUUUUUCGUGGGGGAUAACGUAGGGAAACUUACGCUAAUACCGCAUACGCCCUACGGGGGAAAGCCGGGGACCUUCGGGCCUGGCGCGGAUAAAUGAGCCGAUGUCUGAUUAGCUAGUUGGUAGGGUAAAGGCCUACCAAGGCGACGAUCAGUAGCUGGUCUGAGAGGACGACCAGCCACACUGGGACUGAGACACGGCCCAGACUCCUACGGGAGGCAGCAGUGGGGAAUUUUGGACAAUGGGCGCAAGCCUGAUCCAGCAAUGCCGCGUGAGUGAAGAAGGCCUUCGGGUUGUAAAGCUCUUUUGUCAGGGAAGAAACGGGAUUGGAUAAUACCUAGUCCUAAUGACGGUACCUGAAGAAUAAGCACCGGCUAACUACGUGCCAGCAGCCGCGGUAAUACGUAGGGUGCAAGCGUUAAUCGGAAUUACUGGGCGUAAAGCGUGCGCAGGCGGUUUUGUAAGUCUGACGUGAAAGCCCCGGGCUCAACCUGGGAAUUGCGUUGGAGACUGCAAGGCUUGAAUCUGGCAGAGGGGGGUAGAAUUCCACGUGUAGCAGUGAAAUGCGUAGAGAUGUGGAGGAACACCGAUGGCGAAGGCAGCCCCCUGGGUCAAGAUUGACGCUCAUGCACGAAAGCGUGGGGAGCAAACAGGAUUAAUACCCUGGUAGUCCACGCCCUAAACGAUGUCUACUAUUGUCGGGUUUUAAUUAACUUGGUAACGCACUAACGCGUGAAGUAACCGCCUGGGGAGUACGGUCCAAGAUUA